CGGUAAAUAGCUCAGUUGGUUAGAGUGCUGGUCUGUCACGCCAGAAGUCGUGGGUUUGAACCCUGUUUUCCCCG
rfam:Triticum aestivum genome assembly, contig: Triticum_aestivum_CS42_TGACv1_scaffold_499692_6BL